GAUGAACGCUGGUGGCAUGCUUAACACAUGCAAGUCGUACGGCAAAUGAAAGUUUUAGAACACUGUACUCUACCGUUCUAAGGGUUUCAUUUGUAGUGGCGGACGGGUGAGUAACGCGUAAGAACCUGCCCUUAGGAGGGGGAUAACAACUGGAAACGGUUGCUAAUACCCCAUAUGCUGAGGAGUAAAACGGUAACAACCGCCUAAGAAUGGGCUUGCGUCUGAUUAGCUUGUUGGUAAGGUAAAAGCUUACCAAGGCGACGAUCAGUAGUUGGUCUGAGAGGAUGAUCAGCCACACUGGGACUGAGACACGGCCCAGACUUCUACGGAAGGCAGCAGUGAGGAAUCUUCCGCAAUGGGCGAAAGCCUGACGGAGCAAUGCCGUGUGGAGGAAGAAGGCCUGCGGGUUGUAAUCUCCUUUUCUCGGAAAAGAAUAACUGACGGUAUCUGAAGAAUAAGCAUCGGCUAACUCCGUGCCAGCAGCCGCCGUAAAAC
rnacentral:rRNA from 1 species